rnacentral:rRNA from 1 species
AGUUUGAUCAUGGCUCAGGAUGAACGCUAGCUACAGGCUUAACACAUGCAAGUCGAGGGGCAGCAUGGAGUUUGCUUGCAAACUCUGAUGGCGACCGGCGCACGGGUGAGUAACGCGUAUCCAACCUUCCCUAUAGUAGAGGAUAGCCCGGCGAAAGUCGGAUUAAUACUCUAUGUUUUCCGUUGCAGACAUCUAAGAUGGAACAAAGGCUUGCCGCUAUAGGAUGGGGAUGCGUCUGAUUAGGUAGUCGGCGGGGUAACGGCCCACCGAGCCAUCGAUCAGUAGGGGUUCUGAGAGGAAGGUCCCCCACAUUGGAACUGAGACACGGUCCAAACUCCUACGGGAGGCAGCAGUGAGGAAUAUUGGUCAAUGGGCGAGAGCCUGAACCAGCCAAGUAGCCGUGCAGGAUGACGGCCCUAUGGGUUGUAAACUGCUUUUAUGCGGGGAUAAAGUUCACUACGUGUAGUGUUUUGUAGGUACCGCAUGAAUAAGGACCGGCUAAUUCCGUGCCAGCCGCCGC